rnacentral:rRNA from 1 species
GACGAACGCUGGCGGCGUGCUUAACACAUGCAAGUCGAACGGAAAGGCCCUGCUUUUGUGGGGUGCUCGAGUGGCGAACGGGUGAGUAACACGUGAGUAACCUGCCCUUGACUUUGGGAUAACUUCAGGAAACUGGGGCUAAUACCGGAUAGGAGCUCCUGCUGCAUGGUGGGGGUUGGAAAGUUUCGGCGGUUGGGGAUGGACUCGCGGCUUAUCAGCUUGUUGGUGGGGUAGUGGCUUACCAAGGCUUCGACGGGUAGCCGGCCUGAGAGGGUGACCGGCCACAUUGGGACUGAGAUACGGCCCAGACUCCUACGGGAGGCAGCAGUGGGGAAUAUUGCACAAUGGGCGGAAGCCUGAUGCAGCAACGCCGCGUGCGGGAUGACGGCCUUCGGGUUGUAAACCGCUUUCGCCUGUGACGAAGCGUGAGUGACGGUAAUGGGUAAAGAAGCACCGGCUAACUACGUGCCAGCAGCCGCGGUGAUACGUAGGGUGCGAGCGUUGUCCGGAUUUAUUGGGCGUAAAGGGCUCGUAGGUGGUUGAUCGCGUCGGAAGUGUAAUCUUGGGGCUUAACCCUGAGCGUGCUUUCGAUACGGGUUGACUUGAGGAAGGUAGGGGAGAAUGGAAUUCCUGGUGGAGCGGUGGAAUGCGCAGAUAUCAGGAGGAACACCAGUGGCGAAGGCGGUUCUCUGGGCCUUUCCUGACGCUGAGGAGCGAAAGCGUGGGGAGCGAACAGGCUUAGAUACCCUGGUAGUCCACGCUGUAAACGGUGGGUACUAGGUGUGGGGUCCAUUCCACGGGUUCCGUGCCGUAGCUAGCGCUUUAAGUACCCCGCCUGGGGAGUACGGCCGCAAGGCUAAAACUCAAAGGAAUUGACGGGGCCCCGCACAAGCGGCGGAGCAUGCGGAUUAAUUCGAUGCAACGCGUAGAACCUUACCUGGGUUUGACAUGGAUCGGGAGCGCUCAGAGAUGGGUGUGCCUCUUUUGGGGUCGGUUCACAGGUGGUGCAUGGCUGUCGUCAGCUCGUGUCGUGAGAUGUUGGGUUAAGUCCCGCAACGAGCGCAACCCUUGUUCACUGUUGCCAGCACGUUAUGGUGGGGACUCAGUGGAGACCGCCGGGGUCAACUCGGAGGAAGGUGGGGAUGACGUCAAGUCAUCAUGCCCCUUAUGUCCAGGGCUUCACGCAUGCUACAAUGGCUGGUACAGAGAGUGGCGAGCCUGUGAGGGUGAGCGAAUCUCGGAAAGCCGGUCUCAGUUCGGAUUGGGGUCUGCAACUCGACCUCAUGAAGUCGGAGUCGCUAGUAAUCGCAGAUCAGCAACGCUGCGGUGAAUACGUUCCCGGG